rnacentral:rRNA from 1 species
CCUACGGGUGGCAGCAGUAGGGAAUCUUCCACAAUGGGCGAAAGCCUGAUGGAGCAACGCCGCGUGGGUGAAGAAGUUCUUCGGAUCGUAAAACCCUGUUGUUAGAGAAGAAAGUGCGUGAGAGUAACUGUUCACGUUUCGACGGUAUCUAACCAGAAAGCCACGGCUAACUACGUGCCAGCAGCCGCGGUAAUACGUAGGUGGCAAGCGUUAUCCGGAUUUAUUGGGCGUAAAGGGAACGCAGGCGGUCUUUUAAGUCUGAUGUGAAAGCCUUCGGCUUAACCGGAGUAGUGCAUUGGAAACUGGGAGACUUGAGUGCAGAAGAGGAGAGUGGAACUUCAUGUGUAGCGGUGAAAUGCAUAGAUAUCGCGCAGAACUCCGAUUGCGAAGGCAGCAUGCCGGCUCCACACUGACGCUGAGGCACGAAAGCGUGGGUAUCGAACAGGAUUAGAUACCCCUGUAGUC